GUUCCUUUUCUUCCCAGGCAUACCAGAAACAUGUAAAUAAAUCCAGGAGAAAAGCGAACAUCCAAGUUCAUCUGGUCCACUUGAAGUGGAGAGAGCUUAGACAGCAUUCCUAGCUGGGGAGUCCACUGUUUCACUCUGAAAAGCCAAGUGGUGUGAGAACCCUAGAUUUAGAGACUGGAGGGAUUAUUAAGUAGUCUAAGAAAAUAAUGCAAAAAUCUUUGCAUGAUAUGGAUAAAUAAUUGGAUAAAUUUUUUUUCCUGUUUGGUUUUUUUUUUUAAUGAAGUAUAUUUGAUUUCCAGUAUUAUGUUAGUUUCAGGUGUAUGGCAUAGUGAUCCAGUAUUUUUAUAGAUUAUGCUCCAUUAUAGGUUAUUGCAAGAUAAUAGGUAUGAUUUUCUGUGCUAUAAAUUCUUGUUGCUUAUCUAUUUUAUAUAUAAUAGUUUGUAUCUGCUGUUAAUUCCAUACUCUGUAUAUCUUCCCUCCCCUUUUCUCAUUCUCUUUGGUAACCAUAAGUUUGUUCUCUGUAAGUCUGUUUCUGUUUCUUAUAUUCACCCAUUUGUCUUAUUUUUUAGAUUCCACAUAUAAGUGACACAUCGUAUCUGUAUUUCUUUGACUUAAUUCACUAGGCAUGAUGUUCUCUAGGUCCAUGCACAUUAUGCGGUAUUUCAGCCUUUAUGACUGAGUAAUACGCCAAUGUAUAUGUGUAUACCACAUCUUAAGCCAGUUGUUUGUUGAUGGGCACUUGCAUUGCUUCCAUGUCUUUACUGUUGUCAGCGCUGCUGUGAACAUUGGGGUGCAUGUGUCUUUUCAAUUUACUGUUUUUGUUUUUCUGUAUAUAUAGCGAGGAGUGGAAUUGCUGGAUCAUACGGUAGUUCUUUCUUCAGAAACUCGACUGUGUUGAGGAACCUCCACACUGUUUGCUGUAGUGGUUACGCCAGUUCACAUUCCCACCAACAGUGUACGAUGGUCCCCUUUCCACAUCUUCUCCAGCAUUUGCUGUGUGUUGAGUUUUUGGUGAUAGCUGUUCUGACCAGUGUGAGGGAUACUUCACUGUGGUUUUGAUGUGCAUUUCUCUGAUAAUUAGCAGUGAUGAAUGUCUUUUCAUCUGUCUGUUAGCCAUCUGUAGGUGUUUGAAAAAGUGUCUAUUCAGUCUUCUGCCCAUUUUUGAUUGGAUUGCUUUCUGAUACUGAGUUGUAUGAGCUGUUUGUGUAUUUUGGAUAUUAACCCCUCGUUGGUCACAUCAUUUCUAAAUGUUUUCUUGGAUUCCUUAGGUUUUCUUUUCGUUUUGUUGAUGGUUUAUUUUGCUGUGCAAAAGCUAUAAAGUUUAAUUAGGUCUCAUUUGUUUGUUUUUUUUCUUUUGCCUUGAGAGACUGAUGUAAGAAAAUGCUGCUGUGAUUUAUGUCAGAGUGUUUCACCUGUGUUCUCUUGUAGGCGUUGAAUAGUUUUCGGUCUUACAUUGAGGUCUUGAAACCAUUUUGAGUUUAUUUUUGUGGAUAAACUAUUUUUGAAAUAGAACUGAAAAUACACAGCUAAGCUUGAAAGUAUAAAAGGGGCGUGUUCAAGCACUAGAACUGGAGAGACUUGUUCCUGUGUCGGCGAGUUGUGAGCAAAGCUCCUAGCCCCAUGGUGGAAACUGGGGGGACACUGGUGGGGCUGUUGCCAGUGGAUUUAACCAUGUCUAGGUUCUUGUCCUGUCCCAGAAAGAAUUCAGAGACAAGAUGUAGUGGUUAAAAAAAGUAAAGUGAGAAUUUAUUGAAGGAUGGAUGGUACACGCAAGGGGAGAGCAGGCAGGCUCAGGUGAGUGGCUGCCUGUGUUUCUCUGGCAGGUUAGUUACAUGGGAUGUAAAAAUGAAUGGGUGGAAGGCCUUGGGGUCGUCGUAUUCCCUGAUUUUCACCCCAGCUCUGCCUUCCCGAAGGGAGGAGGGAUUUUUGUCCUUAUUUAGUCUGGAUUGGAAGUGUCGUGGUGUCCAUGCAUGAUGGGUACUUCUGAUCUGCAAGGCUAAUUUUAUUGAAAUGAGGGCAUAAUAAGCAAAAGGUUACAUCUGGACACUGGAAAUUCCUGCCUUUUCUCACCUUUCUUUGUUGGUCUCCAGGCCACUCAUCACCCCAAAAGGUGUGACCAGUUAUCAGCCCAAAGGUUCCUGCUUUUCUUUCUCUGCCCAGGGACGCCUGGUGUUUACAUGAUGUAUGGUUUCCUGCAUUUGGCCUGUGCCCCUCCUUUCUGCCCAAUUCCUGCCAUUUGGUCUGUGUCCCCCUUUCUCUGUUCACGUCUAGCUAUCUGCCUGCUCUAACAGGGCCAGGACCCAGCAGUGGGCCUCCAGGGCCAGGGUUUGACACCAACACUGGACAGGAGGCUCCCGGCCUGAGUUGGCCCAGAACAGCACUGCCUUUUCUCUACGACAGAGUAGGGUCUGAGUCAGGGCUUAGAGGUAGCCAUCAGCCCCAGGCUGCAGGGGGAUACGUCAUGUUGGAAAAUCUAGCCUGCAGAUUGGUUCUACCCACAAAGUUCACAAAAAGCCAAGCUGAAAAUCCAGCAUAAGAACUAAUUUGGAGCCAGUCAACCCAGUGAGAGUCUUCCACAGCCCAGGAGAAGGGGGACUCCCAAGUUGGGCGUAGACAGCUAUGGUUGGGGAAUGCAGGCAAAACCACAAGACACGAAGGUGUGGGUGUCGGCAUUCUCCACAGCUGUUUGUGUGUCUAAGAGACUUCCUUUUUUUUAAAAAGCACCACAAAAGGAAGUCCCUUGUGGUCCAGAAGACUGUUCACAGACCCAGGUGAGGAACUUCAUACCCAAGAAGUUAUAGGUAACGGAGGUUAUUUCAUGAACGUGGAACAGGAGAGCCUGCUUUGUCCAAAUCAGAGGCAGAGCCACAUGCAGAACUGCGGUGUCCCGUGACCCAGGGUAAAUAGAAUCAUGUAUCACCGUAUUGAAACCAAAGAUCCAAGGACCCGGGCAAGGUCUUUUCUUUGCCUCCGCUUCCGCUUAAGGGUGUAAGUCGUCGCUACAAGACCAGAGCGGAGCCUGACUUCAUGGUGGAGUUGGUCACUCCUGCACCAUCCCCUCUCCCAGAGUAUGGACGCUGGACUGAGAUUAGGGAUGUUGAUUGAGAUCGGUUGGUUGCUGACUAGCUGUGUGACCUUGGACAAAUCACGUGAUCUCAGCCUGAUUUCCUCCCCUGAAGAAUGGAAGGGGUUGGUCUAGCACUGGAUGAACCCUAGGGCUCUGUUCAUUUCCCAGCUGGAGCCUCAAAGCCUUCACAGCAUGAGAGGGAUGUGGCCACAGACAGGAGGUCAAGGGGCCAGAAAAGGAAGCGGUGCCAGCCCCUCAAGCUCAGUUAGGAAACCUCCAAGAUGCCAAGGGCCAAGAUUGACCCAGGACAUCUAAGUGAUACCAUGUAUGACCAAGGUCAGAGACUAACGCAUUUUAGGGAAAAGCAAAAUUUCAUUUUAUUUAACUCAGUUACUUCUAGAUGAGCACGACCUCAUUUCUGAGCAUGAAUGCAGUUCUCCUGAUACGUGACCCUCCACCAUGUAUACAGAUGGUUGGAGUGAAUUGAUGAAGACCCAAGUCUGCGGACCCUGCACCCUCCACCCAGCUCUUAGCACCUCACUUGAUCGGCAGGUUAGUGGAGGAAAGAAGCUAGAGCCUUCUCUGGAAGGCCAGUUAGAAUUGCCUUCAGGAGAAGACAGCAGGCUGUGAACACACAAGUCAUGCCAGCUAACUGCAGAAACACCCACAAGGGCCCUCCUAAGGUCGUCGCUGCUGUGAGUCAGACCCUUGGAGAACCAGCGCCCCGUCCCUGGACUGGCCGCUGGGCUCAGCGCUCACAAUUACCUCAUCAUUUCUGGUCCUGAAGACAACUGACGGGCCUGUGCCAGCGCGAGGACGCCAGCCCUUACAGCUGCCUCCUCUUCCCACCUGGAGUAAAUUCACCCACUCACCUGGAAAACUGAACAGCCAGUGAGAGCGAGAGACAGCUGCGGUUGUGUGUACCCUGGGUCAACUUGAUUUUCCUUUUUUUGUGGUUCUCUACAAAGGACAGUGUGAGUUGUGUUUAGCAAUAAAGUCGUUUCCCAAGUUCUUCCCUCUACCUUUAACAACCCCUCCAGGGCAAACAGCAGUUCCAUUAAUGAUUGGCAGAUUUGAGAAAGCCGAGCCAUCAGUGCGGUUCCAGAUUUCCAUUGCUGCGCCCUCCCAGCAUCAGAAGACAAACCUUCAACAUUUAAUGAGGAGAACAGCAUGCUGUAACUACUGUGUGGCUCUCCACCCCCACCCCAGAAAGAGCCUCCCCGAAAAGAAGUUCAGUCCCAUGCUGCUGACAGUAGCGAUACUUUGGUUUUUUUGUGAACUUAAAAAGAAGAGGUCACUGGACUCAAGCAACAAACAUUUGAGAUCAUUGCUUUAUUUUACUAUUUGUUCAACAACAAAGUUCAUUCCUCUCAAGGUGGAUCUUGAAUUGUUCCUUGUGUUCUUUUCCUCGUUCUGAAUAAAAAAGAUAAUGAAGAAAAAGCCUGUACUUCUGAAGACCUAGAAUCUUGAUUAUGCUAAUAAGCUUUUGACUACAAUUUCGUGUUACGAUGUUUCCUGCUGGCAUCUUGGUGGUCAGACGGAGCUCCCCACCCUCCAGUGAAGAUGGCUGUCCACAGCUACCACCAUUGAAACCAAAAGUAAGUGUUGAAAAAUGCACCUUUUACAAUAAAAAAGUAGAAACCAAUUCAAUUUCCUUUUUUUUUACGAAUAUAAAGUCUCUUGUAAAUAUGUACAGUCUUUGAGCUAGUUCUAUAGCAGGAAGCGUUUCACAAAUGAGACACACGAUAUACACCGUAAGGGUUGAGGAGCCCAUUUCUCAUGGAGAUCCUAAAUGAAAUGCCAAGACUGAAAGACCAGUGUUCAGUGACCUUUCCAAAUACUCGUGGACCAAGAGACACAAAACUUCAGCAAACAUUCAGUCGGAUCUGCCCCGGGGAAGGAGGGGCUGCAGUGUGACCGCCAAAGACGAAGCAACGCGUAAAACGACAGCAUGACGUUGGCCAAGGCGCAACAUGGAGGGAGAGUCGUGGGCAUUUCACACGAGAAAGCACUUAGGUUAAGAGACGAGCAGGAGGGAGCCGGGACUCGGGCCAGGUUGCAGUCUGGAAGAGGGAGCUGAACUGUGGACACGUGAGUUGAAACGUGGUCACGUUCACCUGCUGUGGUAGGAAGAGGUCUACCUUUCCGCCUACCUAGGAUGGGCCUGGGUUGUUCGAGGCGUGGAGAAUCCCAAAGGAGCAAGAGAGGCCUUGUGGGAGAUUAAAGGCAGAAGUAAGGCCGCUAGUUAGCUUGCCAACUGCAAAGCCUCUAAUUGGCUCUUUACCACUCGCCAGGAACCUCGUGCUGACAGGGUGGGCCGCGCUGCACCUGCGGAGGGCGGCCGGACCCCGGCAGAGGUGAGAGUCGGGCUGUGGCUUCCUUCUCCAAUUUCCUGGUCUUAGGCUAUCCCUAGGGAGAGGCUCGUUUGGGAAGUCACAGUUUUUGUGGGGUAGAACCUUGCUGGAUUGUGUGUGAACACAGUCGGCAGGGAAGCGUGGAAGUGUGAGGUGGUGGUUUGCUGAAAUCCUUCUCUGGUCGUAAGGCUUGAGCGUUUGGUUUUGUGUAUGUGUUCAGUGCUACAGACUGCAGCUUGUGGUGGCCAAUGAGUUGGCAAGUCGUCAGAGGGUCUCAGUUCGGCGGGAGCUAGGGGAUGGGGCUAGCGUGUUGGCAGAGCAACCCAAGGCGGGCAGCCAGGUCGGGGGGCAGCACAUGCAGCAAGCCGCCAUGCAGAGCUCCCGGGUGGGCCUCUCCCUCCCUGGGGAGGGGGUGGAGAGCAGCGCGCCCUCACAGCAGGAGCCCGGUGCCCCCUGGUCACCUCCUGGACCCAGAGACCCACCGGAGCUGGGCUCAGGGCAAGUCUAGUGCAUGCUUUCCUGGCGAAAGCUACGUGGAAAGCGGGGACAGCAGGCUGGGGGAUGACACUGAGGGGCGGGGAGGGAAAGCUCCUCGAGGUCCCUUGGCCCCAAGUCACCGCCUCUGAGCCAAGGCCCGAUCACCUCCAUACAUUCUCAGCUGGUGGGAGGGGAAGUCUUCAAGGCCCUAAAAGGCAAUGAGAACGGUAAACAUUUGGCUAAGGUGUCACCCUGGGUAAAACAGGGCCAUCUGUGAGGAUGAACUGGAGCAAGGAUGAGCCGACGUGAGUGCGGGAGGUCAGCCAACCAGUGGGGGCUCUUCUACGACACAUUUUAGCAGCAAAGACCUGAUGGUGUGAUCUCGCUAAAAAUGACUACAACAGGAAAUACAGUGCUAUUCAAAUCUAUUAAGAAUUCUGUCAUCUUAAAAAAAGAAAGAAAAACAGAAAAACAAAAAACCAACCCUAGGAUCUUAAAGUAGCUAUUAAGUAGGAUUCUAACCACAGUGUAGUUAGCCCCCGGUUGGUUUCCUUUGAUGAACUGGUACAGGCUGGAGCUAGGUACAAAAGUUUAUGAAUGCUUUGAAAGAGUAACAAAGUGCACAGAGGAUGGCUGCAGGGAGGUGCCAGCAGCCCCUCAGAGCCUCGGCCCCUGCCCUCCUGGAGGCCAGCUGUCGCUGCCAAGGUGGGUCUGGGUCCAGCUGCCCCGUGGGCUGGCCGAGCAGGUGGGUGCUGGGUCCCCUUCAGCAGAGUUCCAUAGUGUGUUUGGUGUUUUCCUGCAGAUUAAGAUGAGUUGGUUUUUCUGGCUGAGAUUUAUACCGAAGACUGGUCCCAGACCUAGGAGCAAAAUGAGGAGCAGGUUUAGCCAUCAGAGGCCAGAACUCACUGUGCUCGCUACACAAACAGGAAGGCUGCAGCCCCUGCUGUCCCCUGCAGCAGUUUCCGGUGAAUGCUCUGCGGGGCGGCACCGGCUCGCACAGCGAACCCUCAGAGUUUGCAAAACUCAUUGACAAGUCCCCAAGGCUGUUGGCAGGGGUGCCAGCAGGGAACUACAGAUGGCACGUAGAGGGUGCAAUCCAGAAAACCAGCCCCUGGUGACAGGAAGGUGGCUCUGCUGUCCAGAGGGGUCCCCUGGAACUGGCUGGCUGGCCGAGGUGGCACCAAGCCCACAGGCAAAUCCCUGAGCCUUCAGCACAUCUGCCGUCUCCUCAGUGGCUAACCUAAAAAUUACACAGGACAGGGACAGGAGGCCGAGAGGGCAGCGAAAGGACAUCAGGCUCCCCGGUCAGGACGCAGGCUGUGUACUGAGCACCUGCAGCCUGUCGGGCCCUGUGCUAAACUCUCCAAGGACCCUAACUCAUUAAAUCACCCUCACAGCUCCACAAGCCAGGGAGAAGCACCACCCUGCCUGCGCAGACAGGAAGAUGGAAACAUAGAGGCUGGGAGUGCAGUACAGAGUUACACUCCCUGCUCCACUAAACAGACCAGGGCAAUGCGGCCUGCAGUGAAAUCACAUUUGACCAAGCUGGCCUUCUCUGUUCUGGACCUGCCCCACACAGUCAGCAGCAGAAAGGCUAUUUCACAAGCUGAGAGAUGGCUGAAGGCUAAAUGUUGUUUCCAUGCCCGUCUGGGGAAUCAGCAGUAUUUCUGCCCCUUGUUCACAGGACCUGGAACCAUUUUUCAACCACAGAAUAAGUAAGUGCUUACAGAGACACCAUCUCAUCUCAAAAGGAAGGUGCCAUCUCAUUUGUGAGGCAAUGGAGGAAAAAACCCGAAUGGCAGUACUUUGGUUUGCUCUUGGCAUCACUUGUCUAGCUGUUCUUUAAGUAGCCUCCAUUUUCAGGGGAGGACUGAGCAGUCACUCCUGAGGCAAAAGGGCAAGCCGAAGAGGUGCAGCUGGUUAUUGGGCACUUCUGGUUUUCCAACAAGUUCCUGGGAUUAAAAUCACACUGACAGAACAUUUCAGACUAACACUUAGAUUUCAGCCAAAAAAAAAAAGACUAUUCAUUAGGACAUAGUAUUAUAAAAGAGAGCCAUCAAUUUAAUAUCCUAAGGUGUAAGCAUUUUGUAACAUUAGAGGUGGUUUCUCCACCAACCUGAGUCCCUUGAGAAUAAAAACAGUGUCGUCUUCAUCUGUGUCUCCCUGCACUGUCUGGCACACGGUCGGAGACCCACAUCGUUCUUUAUAGGGCGGACAUGUCAGGUUUUCAAACCAGUCCACAGAAUUAAAUACUCCCCUAGGUUAAAAAAGCUCGUCUCCUUUGUGGACCAAGAUCUUCUAAUUACACAUCUCAAACCUACACAUCGAACUGGGGCUGGCUCGUAGCCCUGUGUGGCAAGAAACGCCAGUCCCACUUCCACGUACUGCUGGCGGGAUUACAAAAGGGUACAGCCUCCAGGGAGGAAAACUCAUUGGGUGCCGCCCAGCGACUCCUCUUCUAGGAAUCCACCCUCCAGAUAGAUGCCUAAGCGUGCAAAAUGACACGUACAGAGUCAUUUACUACAGCAGCAGGCUGGAAACAACCCAAACAUCCACUGAUAAAGGAGCAGUUAAAUAAAUUAACGUGCAGGAAUGCUACGCAGGCUUAAAAAAAAAAUGAAACACUUCGAAUACUGACGCGGAGCAAUUGCCAAGAUACAAAAGAUACAGAAGAGUAUGCACAGUGCAUUAUCGACCUGUAUUAAAAAGAAGGAAACGAGCACUUCCAGAAUGGCAGAGUAAGGCCCCCAGAAAACCUGCUCCUCCAUAAAAGCAACAAGAACUCUGGCAACAUUGUCAAAAUCAGCUUUUCAGAACUCAGGCAAUUGACCAAAGUCUUGCAACAAUUCAAAGAGUGCUUAUGCAAGAAAAACAGCUGAAUUUCAAAACAACAAGCUUUGUGGUAUUUCAGCCUGACCUGUUCCCACCCUUCUCUGCCCAGAUCUGCAGUAGUUUUGAAAGCAGCAGCCUCACACACACAGUAGCUGUGAGAACCAGCAGCCACUGGGGGGAGCCCAUCAGGACUGGGCUCUCCAGAGAGCCUCAUCCCCGGAAAACUGGCCCUAUGUGACCUAUCUGGCUCCCCCCUGGAAAAAGACCAUCCUCAGGGUUGGUUUUUAUUUGACCUGAUUCAGGUCUUGCGCAAGAGAAAUGCCCUAUGUCUAGACAUUUAUCCAGAAACAAUCAGCAGUAAUUCCUUAACCCAGCAAAUGCCUGAGGCAGUGAGACCAGUUGGGGAAAGCAGGAGGCUGGCUGAAACACUCAAAAUCUGGGAAUAAGAUAGAUGCCUAUGCGGGGUUUUGAAAUACUCCUAGGGAACCGUGGGGCCCCACACUCAGGUGAGGCUGUACACAAGCCCAGGAAAAACAUGCGAAAGCUCCAGCCUCUCAGCAGUGGCUGACCUGGGGUGUUGAAGGUGAGCCCCGAAACACACGCACACAGCCGCUCAGCAAAGGGUGGGAGACUGACUUCAGUGCCUUGAGGACGUCUCUGUCCAGUCAUUUAGCUGACCACUACCCUAACCAAAGAGAAACUUCAAUGGCUACACAAACGAAGGACACAGACGGGCUUUACAGAAUUAGUCUGGGAGAGCCACUAAACAAACAGCAGCAAACCUGGGGGGAUCCGAUUACCAGAGUUGCCAUGUUCUGUUAUUUGAAAUACUCAGUUUUCAUGUAUAGCACAGGGAAGUAUAUACAAGAUCUUGUGGUAGCUCACAGCAAAAAAAAAAUGUGACAGUGAAUAUAUGUAUGUUCAUAUAUAACUGAAAAUUGUGCUGUACACUGGAAUUUGACAUAACAUUGUAAAAUUGUUAUAUGGACUAUAACUCUAAAAAAAUGUUAAAAAAUAUUCAGUUUUUAGCAGAAAAAUUACAAGACACUCAAAGUAAAAUGUGGGCAGUAGUCAGGGCCUCAUUUCUUCGGGGACAGCCUCUCUGGCCCCAGGUCUAGGCUGGGGUCCUUCGAGCUCCCACGGUGCCUUAAACUACCCCAGCCCGAGCCUGCCUCCUGGCUCUAGGCUGUGCUGUAAUCACCCGAUUGCACGUCUCCCCUCCAGGCCCUCAGGGAGGGGGCUGCAUCUGGCUUACUCACUCUGCCUCCCUCAGCAAGCCCCACUAGCACGGCAAUCUGCUAAGGCAACAAAUGCAUAAUUCACGCGCCAUUCCAAACACGCCACUGAAAAUAACCCCAGAGAAAGGCCAGACAUUGCCUUCCGCCUUCUACAAGAGGGCAUUAAAAAAUUCUCCUGCUGCUUAUAAAGGGCUGUGUCAUUUCAGUGCUGUACAUCUCAAAGAAAUGAGUGGUUUGUGCUUUAAGAUUGGGAAACUAAACUAGUUUAGCAAGAUCUCCUUCUGCUUUGCAGAAAAGCACUUUGUUCCCUGUAAUGAGGAAAAGCAAGGGUGCGGUACCUGCGGGAGUUGGACGGGCCCCGGUGGUGGUCAGUGCCAGACUCCUUCACGAGGUUUCCUUUGCAGCAAAUGAUCCUUAAUUUAUCCUGGUAUGAGGAUGCCAGGUAUAUCGCCCCCGAGGAAAUUGCGGGGCCCAGGUAGCGUGGGUUGGGGAUUUCCAAAUACGCUCGGGCGGGGGUCCUGCAAAGUUCCGGAUGAGUGUGUGCAGGGCUGGUUACCGCCAUCGUGACGCAGGGUAGGGAGAUACGCCGCCCGGCCCCAGCACCCAACCCCAGCUGCUGAACUUCUCAAAGCCUGCAGGACAUCACUUACCCCAGAGAGGAGCGUGCCUGGAUCUCAAUUACUUCCAGUGAGUUGAAGUGGGUCACAAACAGAUAGGGUUCUCUGUAGGCUGCAUGGCCACCAGGGAGCAAGAGCGUGGGGCAAGGAAGGGUUAAAAGACAGAAAAUCAAAACCUGGCUGCGAGCAACCUUGGACCCAGCAAUCCCACCUGAGGAAUUUAUCCUACACGUGGAACCACGUGCCAGCAGAAUGAGGCAUGUUCAAGUCUGUUCACUGCCAUGUUGCUGGAGCAACGUCAUGGGGGACGAGCUGUGCUGCUCACAGUCCACCCGUGGAAUGUGCCCGGCUGGAAAAACGCAUGAAGGGGCCCUCCGUGCACUGACGGGGGAGAAAACCCAAGUGUCACUGAGACCCUAGGAUAAAACAGGAGCUGGUUUUGGUCUUAAAGGGACGAGAUCAUCACUGUCGUCCCUUGCGGUAAACUGGUACUCCGGUGUCCGUCGUGCCUCCCAGUCCCCAUGCCCCCGUGGACUCUCCUUGCACUGAAUCUGGCCUUCAACCCACAGAAUGUGGUGGAACCCAGAAGGCCUGCCAGCUUCCACUUGCACACUCUUAGAAGCAGCCCACGGGGAGAGGAACUGAGGCCCCCAGCCCCCGCUGGGCUCCCACCGGACCGUCAGCUCCAACCACCCGCCACGCUGUGAAGCCAGCGCCCUUGCUGACACCGCAUGAACCAGAACUGUCCAGUCAAGUCACAGAAUCUUGGGCAAUGGUACAUAGUUGUGUGAAGUCACUAGGUUUUGAAACUUGUGAAGAAGCAACAGGCAAAACAGCCUUGAAGGGUCUCUCAGACCAAUACUUCAAGAGGCUGGGGGAUUCAGCUUCUAUGGUUCUGCCUCAAGCCUCAGAAUCUCUGCCGUGAAUGCUUACUCGGGUGACGCUACACGUGGCGGCAGUGGACUCCCCAAGCACAGUGCUUAAGCCAAAAGGAAUUCCACCUGCAGCUCUUUCCCAGGACCCUAACUCUUGGCAGCAAAGAGCCCCCACACCCUGCCUCACCUACCGAAGGCCAAAGGACCAGCCCUGUGCCUGGGGCCCUGGCCACACCCGCCCCGUCCGCAGCUGGCGGCAUCCCCGACUCACCGUGGAAGCAGAGCAGGUACUCCUCCCGCUGCCCUGCGCCAUUCACCUGCAUGAUGGACACGGGGAAACUGUUGGAAGAGGAGGCAAACACAGCAGGUGCCAAGGAGUGGUCGUUCUUAUCCAGGAAUUCUGUAAAGGCAGGCGAGAGGCGGGGCCUCAGGAACGAGGGGCCCCGAGGAGCCCGCGGGGGCCACAGGGCUUGGCAGUGGUGGGGGUUUGGGGGAGCCCGGGGCCCUACCCUCCAGCGUGUACUGCUUCAUGUCAAUUUCGUAGAAUUUAUUGGUUCCGAUGAGGAUGCUGUAAUUGGUGAAGUGGAUGCAGCUGCAGGGCUCCGAGGUCUCAAUCUCCUGAGACAGCGGGCAGAGAGGAGGCUGUGAGCACGGACCUGGGUGGCCACUCUUCCCCGCUGUCCUGGUGCCACCACAGGCAUCUGACCAAGCCCUGCAGGCGUCGCCUCCAGGUUGUUCACGUCCUCACAUCAAGCACGUGAAGUCUCCACACCCCUCGUGGGGAGGACCCGUCAUCCCUUUGCUACCUCUGGGUUCUAUGCACUCUCAGACUAAGAAGGUCAAAUUUGCAGCCAAAAAAAAGGUCAGAAACACCAUUUAAAUGAAAAGGUAACAUUCAAAGAAACCUUUAAAAAUAAAAUGCUCUAAUCAGAGGGAAAAGCUGGGGAAAUACACCAACAGCGGUGGUCAGAGGGAGUGGUGUCAGUUUCCUUCCUUUUGAAAACGUCUCAGUUUCUAUUUUGAACCUGUAUUACCUACAGGAUUAUUAGCAUCAUUACUGAAUUAUCUGUCUGAAUUAUCUGCUUCCUCAUUACUUCCAUUUGUUUUCAGGCCAGUCGUAAGAGCUUCAAAAACCUAGGCAUAUCUAUUCAAUAUGAUGGCCAGGAUUAUUACGAAGCAAUGGUUUCUGAGAAAUUUCCCAAAGCUAAUAGCUCAGACUCUAAUCAGCACUGUCAUCACCACGGAGUAUGUACUGAUUCCCUGCUAAGCAUGAGAAGGCUAGCGCAACAGGGAAAAUUGGGGGAAAUCAAAGCUCAGUUUUGGUGUCAGCUGUCUAGCCUGGGAUCUCGGCUAGCCUCAACCAUCUCACCUGACAGCUGCGGGGCAUGGGCCCUGCUCUUCAGAACUGUUGUGAGAAGUGCUUGUAAAACAGGCCGCUUGUCUCUGGGAGCGGUAGGUGCUCAAUGAAAACACAAACAAAGCAGCCUGCCCCGGAGGAAGGUUCUCUAACAGGGAACGACCCCUGUAUGUUCACUCUCCUUUUCUGACACUGAUCACGAAAGCAUCUGAAAUAAACUGGGCUGAUGGUGGGCAGAACGUUCUCAGUCUGGAGACAGGAGACGGCCUUCUCCCGAAGGGAGGCUCAUGUAACGAUCGAAGGGAAAGCUCGUCCCCACCACAGUCGUCACCGUCACAGCCCGCUCAGCCCCGAGGAGAGCUGGCUCCCACUAGCACUGGCUUUUCUAAAGAUUAUUAAUAGAAACUUCUAUAGUCUGAGAAAGAGUCUGGUUAAGUGCCACCAGGGGCUGCUGGCUUCUCAGAGAGACCUUCCUUUUUUCUGCUGAUUCAAAAGAAGUGUCUCCUCCCUCAGUCAGCUUCCCUUCUCUCUGAACAAAAGGUUGAACUCACUGGGCUGGCCAGGGAGAAGGGAAGCGGGAGGGAAGCCAGUGACAGGCAGCUCCAGAGCCCCCCGGGAAGCAGGGAGCGCUCUCCAGGAGGUCCCCGGGCUGCAGGACUCCGGGCACGGGCCAGGCGCCCCACAGCUCCCCUCUAGCCCUCCGGGCGAGCCGGCCAGACCCGGCCGGGACUUACCUUCCGAAUGCAGUACUUGCUCAGGUUCUCGUUGUAGCGAAGAACAACAACUUUGCUGGGCGUGGCCGCACAGAUGCAGAGCCCGCCCUCGAUCUGCAGCGCCAUUCGGGGGCGGAGGGGGAGAAAGACAGAAAACCAUCAGCAGAGCGCACACAGACUCUGUGGCAGAGCUAGGGAGCGGACACCAGUGUGGAGCAGGGUCUUGGGCGGGGCAUGGGGGACGCUGGGGACCGGAUGCUGCUCUGUGGGGAGGGGCUGCCCAGCGCUCUGUCAGAUGUUGAGCAGUGACCCUGGGCUUCACCCAUCAGGUGCCAGUGGUGCCUAAAGGAAGCAGCAGAAAUCUGACCCGGUUUGAGGACAUAAGAGUUUUCAAGGUCAAAUCAGUCAGCCCUGUGGGAAGAGGGGCAGGGACAAUCUCAAGAACAUUCGCCAGCCGAGGCCCGGAGGAGAGCUUACCUUGCCAGCAGCAAACAGGUGGCAGCCCUUGACAGCUUCAAAGACGCUGGGCGUGAUGUCUGGCUGGGCGGGCAGGUGAGACUGUGCGAGGGACUGUUUCACUUUCUUCACCUCCACGAGACACAGGGCCCGCUCCUCCCCUGAGGGCAGAGGGCACAGCGCCUCCGUCAGGGUGAGGCCGUGAAGCAGAGACAAGGGAUGACAGUUCUAGGUCUAUCCUGGACUAAAAGCCUCGCGCGGUCAGGCAGAUGGACUGAUGUCCACAAGUUCCCAUAAACAAUGUUCUAGAUCUAAAAGGAAAACACCUGGCCUCGUGGCCAUGAUUCUGGCGAGGGAAAAAAGUUCUGCAGACAUGAAAUCAGAGAACAGGGACCGUACUUUCAAACAUGCUCCCCCACCAAAGUCAAGAAAAAAUGUGUUUGGGGACAGUGAGGGGACGUUUUAUAAAACAUUAGGAGUGGACUAUUCCAGUAUGUCAGUGUCAUAGGAGACAAAGAAAGGCUGAGGAUUGUUCCAGGUUUGAGGAGACGACAGAGACAUGAGUGAAUGCAGGGCACUGUCCUGGGAAAAAAAACUCUAAAGGGCAGUAUUGGAACCACAGGUAAAAGCCAACUGUGGGCUACAUCAGAAAAGUAUUAUAGCAACAAUUCCCUGAAUUAAAACACUGUACCCUGUGAAAGUGUUCUGUAUGAUACUACCAUGGUAGACACGUGUCAUUGUACAUUUGUCCAAACCCACAGAAGGUACAAGACCAAGCCUGGACCUGAAUGUAAACUGCGCACGUGUCAAUGUCGGUCCAUCGACUGUAACAGAUGCCCCGCUCUGGUGGGGAUGCUGGUGGUGGGGGAGGCUGUGUGUGUGCAGGGGCCAAAGUAUGUGGGGGACCUCUGGACCUUCUGCUCAGUUCCUGAACACGCUAUCUCAGCCCCUGGAUCCAGCCAGCCAUGCCUGAAGUGAGACGUAACUGGGUGUUUUGAACAUGGAGCCAAAGAAUCGGUGUUUUCCCCUUAAAAAAAAAAAAUAAUCACCACUAAAGAGAGAAGAAAAAACUCUUUGCCAUGGUUCUGUGAGAGAAUGGCUUUGUUCUUUGGUGAUAUGCAGAAGAAUCUGGAGUCAGAGCUGCAAUUGACUCUCAGAUGGUUCAAAAUAAGAGAGAAAAUGAGUGUGUGAGUGUGUGUGUGUGGGAAGGGAGAAAGGGGGAAAAAAUGUGGCAGAGUGUUGACAAGUGGUGCGUGUAGACGGAGCAUCUCCGAGAUUGGGGAGAAAGGAGGCACACAGCGGGGCAGGCAGGCAGGAGGUCAUGGCUCACGCCGUACUGAUGCCACAAGGACCAAGGGCUUGACGUUAGUGAGGCUCCGAGGCCCGCUGCCCUUCACUUGGCAGGAUGCUGAGCUGUUCCCCGGGGGUGUCGGACUGCGCUACGCAGACACGCAGGGAACCGCAUCAGAGAGUAAGCCACAGGCCCAGGCACCUACAGGGACACAGAGCUAAGAACCACUGUCCCCAGGAGGGCCUGCCUUUGUGUGUGACAAGCAUGACAUGUGGCUUUUGAACCACCUCCCUCACAAGUGAAGAAAAAGUGCCGUGUCCUCGGCCUCCCACCUGCUAUCAUGAGGAGCUUCUCCAGGUCCUUGAUGAUAUAAAUUUGGAAGACUGCUCCAAUUCCCGGGACGUGGGUGAGGGAGUUUUUCAGGACAUUCAGUGCGUAGAGCCCUUCCUCGGUGCCCACCAGCACCACCUGCCGGGGCAGAAGUCCAAAGGCCGAACAUGAAUGCAAGCCUGUCCCCGUCACGGCCCCAACAGGAAGAGCCACACAGCCUUUUCACUGGGGACCGCGUGUGCCUGGUGCCAGACCCCAGCUGACCGUGCCCCUAAAGCAUCAUCACCUGGUCGCUGAAGGGCAGCGUGCAGUUCAUGUCUAGACGGUCAUCGCCUUCCAGUUUCAGCAGGGAGUUCCCAAGCAAUUUCUUUUCGUGUGUGAAAGGAAAAACGAGAGAGAGGAAAAGACGACACGGUCAGACUGAACUAUUCAAGACCAGACCAUCCAGAGACAAGCAAGAACGGACGGAAGUUCAAUGCCAGGAAGAAAGGCAAGUUACUCCUGAAAACACUCAGGAGCACACAUCUGCGCUUGGCUUGCCACACAUUUUGACCUGAGCCCGAGAGGCAAGACGAAAAUGCUAUCAGAACCUCUGGGUGGCUGUUAGCGUCGGAGUUAAAACGUGCUUUGGCUGCAGGAGUAAACGGGUGCAGAAGGCGGAGAGAGAGAUUCUGGGACAGGAGACUAGCUGAAGUGAUGUCGCCUGCAAAGGGUUAACAAGCCACAAGGAAGGUUCGGUCCCCGCCAAGCUGCAGCAUGAGUGCAAAGCCCAGUGUCUGCAGCCAACCCGCAAGCCUCUGAGUCUCUUUACCUGAACCCACGUGAGUGGAAGCUCGUAGGAAAUACGGUCUCGGCCCUAUUGUACACACACUGAUUUCAGUACAAGGCUCCCGCGUGUAACAGUGAGACAGGUCAUCAAAACAGGUCUACCCCAUGAGCACGGCUCUAGCAGGAGGCUCGUGGUUGAGGAUUUUCUGAUUGCGAACACUUACACUGUUUAUAAGGAGCUAAGUGUUUGGAAAGAGCUGUUGGGUCUUUGGUGGGGGAAAUGCCAGUGAGUGAUGAGUGCUGUUUGUAUUCUGGAAUGUUCCAGGAGGAGUGAUGCCAAUCAAGGCACACCCACGUCACUAAUGUCUGAAGUUGAAAAGUAGGAUUUCAAGCCUGCCUACGGCAGAGCAGAUCACGCAGAAGCAACUGAGGAAGUUAUGAAAAGCCUUCCUGGAGGAGACGGGGCUGUCAGCAGCCUCCCGUGCUACCUCAUGGCCAACGUGCGUGUAACUCAAGCCUUCAAACCAAAUAAACCCAUUGGAGUAAACGAGAGAGGAUUUCCUUACACUCUCCCACCUGCGACAACUGAUUCUAAGGCGGUGACCCAGCGUUGUUUGUCAGGGAAGCUGGGAGCCAGCAAGUACAGGGUUCUCCCGGGCCAGCAGGUGGUGUGCGGGUGAGACUCCAUCUUCAGUACGUAUGGG